GCUUGACUCUAAACCAGCGCUCGUGCUCUUCCAGGGGCCACACACCUGCAGCUGGUCUCCGGGGCCGAGCAGGCCAGCGGGGGCCGUGUUGUGGGCCGGUUCUUUGGCCUGUAUCCGCGGCGGAGGCUGAAGCUGGUGCCGUGGUUGGCGCGCUGGAUUCGGAGCGGAGCGGUUCCCAUCGCCACCAUGAACAUGCAGCGGGCCGUUCCUGAAGGAGAAGAGAUUCCCGACGCCUGGCACCACCAGCUCAUCUUCGGAGUCGCACCCGGUGCUGUGUUCAUGACCAACCCGCUGGACGUGGUGAGUGAAGAGGAGGUUCACGAGCGUCUGUGCAGCGAGUCUGUGCUGCUCGUUCGCCGUGAAGACGUCCUGAAGAGACUGACGCCGGACGCUCAUCUAUCACAGAUCUCAGAUCAGCAUCCCGACCUGCGCUGGAAAACAUUAAACGUGGAGGGUGCGACCCUCUGUUCAUGUAAUGACUUGAUAUUAUGCUCCAGCCGAAUACACUGAGCUGACCGUGAGUUUCUGUCGUUUAUAGAUCAGGUCAGACAGAUGAUCAGCGAGGAAGAGCGUCCGAAGACGACGCAUCUCGUGAUUCCCGCGGCGUACAGCUCUGGAGUGACUUUCUUCGCUCUUAGAGACUCUGAUGUUGCUCAGGAGCUUCUCAGCAGCCCGGAUCUGCCUCUGCUGUGAUUUUAUCAUCAUCAAAUCAGUGCUUAAUUAACUUAUUCUUGACAUCGGAUCAAUAUUUAUUCUUGGGAUUUUAAAUAGAUGUUGUCAUCCUGGUGUGUUUUGUGUCCUUUGAGAGUUUAAUGGUUCACAGCAUCAUGUUUAUCAAAUAAAAAGCAAGAAACGUACAUGUUCCCUGUUCAUGUUUAUCUGCCAAGCGUUACUACACUGCAAAAAAUGCUUUUCUUACUUAGAUUUUUUUGUGUCUUGUUUUCAGCCAAAAUAUCAAACAAUUCUAAAAUCAAGAAGAAUUUUCUAGGCAAGUAAAAAAAAAAAAAAAUGCAAACAUUAAAGUACACCUACAGGAUGUACAACUG
rnacentral:lncRNA from 1 species